CAUUUCCCAACAUGCAUGUGUCACAACAAUACGGUGAGUUUUAAUUCUUUUUCUAGCAAGGCUUUGGUCCAUAUUUUUCAAAGUGAGAGGUACCUUUUGUUUUCUGCACAGUUAAUAAUUUCAAAUACAAAGCCAUAUUAGGGAGGAGGAACCGAAUCUAAGAUGAAGGAAACUAUACAUGAUUAGGGUGUGCCAUAAAAUCCAGAGGGGAAAAAACUCAAAAAAGUCCAGAGUGGAGGGGUUUUUAGGCUGUGACAGAAGUUGAUCAAAUGCAUGAAAAUACUGGGAAUUCUUCACCCUAACAUAGAAAAACUCCAAGGCAAUCACGUGAAGGCAUUGCCAGUGACAAUUUUGGGCUAUAAAAAAAGCUGUGUGUACAAAUCCAUAACGAAAAGGAAAAAGGAAGAGAUUAAAGAAAGAUAUCCCUUUUCUGGGUAGCUUUUGUAACCUUUUCAUUGCUGUAAAAUUGAGCCUGUAUUUCAAAGACAAAAUAUUCUUGGCUCCCACACACACACCACACCCAACUUUUACAUGUCAUCAGUGUUGCAAAAAGCCAUCCCAUAUAUGGUAUCAAAAAGUGGUCGUAAACUCAAACCUGCAAUCAAAAGAUGGAAGAUGCUCUUUCAUUCUGGACCGUCCAUCACAAGGGAAGGGACCAAAUAAUCAAAGGUGUAGAGACAGUAGAAUAUACAUCAGAUAUUGCAUUAGGCAUGUGCCUCUGCUCUGAUAAGAAGGUAAAAUUUCUGGUGGAAAAAAAAAGAAAUAUAAUGGUACAAGUUCUUGUUCUUGUAUAUCUUCACAAAGGGUUGAAUAUAAUUAGUUCUUUGAGGGGGAAAAAAAUAGGAAAAUGAAAACAUGCAAACAUGAUCAUUGGUGCUGCUGUGAAAGUCAGAGAAAGAUACCCAAUGUAUGCUUUUGUACUUGAAAGAAUGGAAAAUGAUUUAUCAUCACACUCUCUUUGAAGUCUGAAGCUUGGUCAAUCUAGUGGACGAUCCAUAUGAGGAUCCAC
rnacentral:lncRNA from 1 species